rnacentral:rRNA from 1 species
CACGUAAAGCCUCGUCUAGCUCAAGCCAUGCUUCCUUCAUCAGCAAGUGCCCAGCAUCACCUUCAUCAGCAAGAGCACAGCAUCACCCUUCAUCACCACGAUAGUCAGACGCCGCUGCCAUCUCCAUGAGCGCUAGAACCGCUGCCAUCACAAUGUAGAGCAUCACUUUCAUCAACAAGUACAGGGCACCUACAAGCCCCAGGUGCCCCGGAAGCUCCCAGCUGCCAUCACCUUGUACCGCAGGGAUCUGAACCGCUAGGCCUCUGCAGGCACCGAGACCCGGACCGUUGGUGUUUUUUUUCCGUCGUCGCUGUGACGAGGACGCCGAACCGUCCACUGGACGCUACCUCCAGUUGAGGCUGCCUCUACCCGGUGGCCUCAGUCUAGGCCGGCGCUGGGCAGACUAGAACCCUGCUUGUUGUCUCCCCCACCUGAACCUUGAGACCUGCUGUCGUACUGACCUCGUGCCCCUCCACUUCGUCCGCAGUUCCGUCCCGCUGCCCUAGGCCGCCCCUGCGCUCCUACGCCUACUGCGCACCUCCGCGUCGUGCCCUCCUCUUCGUCCCGCGCCACCUCCUCGACGUCCUCUGCCAGAGCUGGUACCACAGGGAAUCGGCCGCUCGAGUACCGGUCGUUGUCGUUGUUCCACGUCUUGCCCUACCUCCGCUGCCCAAGCUCCGCCCCCAGCGGCCUACCGCGUCCCUGCUUCGUCGUUCUCCUCCGCGAGCCCCUGUCGAGCCCGACGAGCUGCCGCCUCCCUCGGGGCCACCGGACCGUCCGGCCGCCCCAACGAGCAAGGGCUCGACGACGAGCUUCGUCCCCUUCGACUGCCUCCUCCGCUCUGUCCCUCGCCGCAGUCCGCUACGUCAUCCCGUUGCUCCUACCUACCGGAGCGCGUGUCGCCUCCCUCCUCCGUUGCUCCCCUUCCCCGCGUCGCCUCUCCUACCCCGUUCCCGCGGUUAGCUCCUCCUCCCUCCGCUCCCCUAGCCCGCGUCCAAGAAGGACCGCCGCGUUCGCUCCCCUUGCUCCUCCUCUACCUAGCCCUCCUACCAGACCGAUCCCAAUUUCCCGCGCCGACCCGGUUCUACGUUUACCCGGCCGGACCAACGACCCGAAGAAGAGAGGGAGAUGAGAAAAUAAAAGGUUUUGUCUUUUAUGGUUUCUCCUUUUCUUCUCCUUUACUUCACAAACCCUAUCGUAAAUGCGUACCCCCAUUAAAAGGGCUUGAGCGUUUUUACUCGAGCUAGGUCCUUUUAUCUUUUCCGGUUCCAACUUUCUACUUUUAAGUUUGAGUAAACUUAAAUUAAGUUUACCCAAACUUGAUCCUGAACCAAAAACUUCACAGGUUUUUACAACUCUAAAAACCAC